CCUACGGGAGGCAGCAGUGGGGAAUUUUGGACAAUGGGCGAAAGCCUGAUCCAGCAAUGCCGCGUGUGGGAAGAAGGCCUUCGGGUUGUAAACCACUUUUGUACGGAACGAAACGGUUCGCUUUAAUACAGUGGGCUAAUGACGGUACCGUAAGAAUAAGCACCGGCUAACUACGUGCCAGCAGCCGCGGUAAUACGUAGGGUGCGAGCGUUAAUCGGAAUUACUGGGCGUAAAGCGUGCGCAGGCGGUCAUAUAAGACAGUUGUGAAAUCCCCGGGCUCAACCUGGGAAUUGCAUCUGUGACUGUAUAGCUAGAGUACGGUAGAGGGGGAUGGAAUUCCGCGUGUAGCAGUGAAAUGCGUAGAUAUGCGGAGGAACACCGAUGGCGAAGGCAAUCCCCUGGACCUGUACUGACGCUCAUGCACGAAAGCGUGGGGAGCAAACAGGAUUAGAUACCCUGGUAGUCCACGCCCUAAACGAUGUCAACUGGUUGUUGGGUGCAUUAGUACUCAGUAACGAAGCUAACGCGUGAAGUUGGCCGCCUGGGGAGGUACGGCCGCGAGUAGAACGUACGAAUAGAAGUAGUACGGCGUGAGACGUGACCGACGGACGACGACGAGGGAGGAGG
rnacentral:rRNA from 1 species